rnacentral:lncRNA from 1 species
UUGAAUUCAAAUUUCAUAUGUGUAUAUGUGAAUAGUUUGUUUUUUUUUUUGACAAAAAGACCCAAAGGUCAAAACUCAAUUAAAAGAAUCACGAAAUACAAUAUCAUGGAUGUCCAUAGGAUAAUCCAUACCAAACAGCAUGUUACAAGUAUUUAAUAUAGCAUAUUUACAAAUAAAGUCCGCAACGUUGUUGCAACUUAGAUUGGC